AGAUGUAACAUUUAAAUGGGUUAAUUAUGAUUUUUACAUCCUCUCUCAAAGUUGGCAGCAAUUCAUCCACUGAUGGAUAGAUCUAACCAGCACCCUUGGCUGUGUGAAUUUUGGCUGAGAGGACGAGAAGUGCUGCAACCCAAGUAUGAUUCUACCGCCAACUCCAUCGAUGUUUCAUACUGAGAAUGAGCAGCUCCACAACUUCCUGUUGUGAAGGUUUCUCCUCUUUCAUGUGUGGCUUUGUGAGGGAGGCUUGCCUUUCCCUUGGUUGACGUAUUUGCAGCCUGUGUACAAUUUAUUAAGGAAGAAGACAGCAGAAUGUAUGAAAGUGUAGAUCAGAGCCAA